GCUUAGGAAUCUGCCCGGUAGUGGGGGAUAGCCCGGGGAAACCCGGAUUAAUACCGCAUACGUCCUACGGGAGAAAGCAGGGGAUCUUCGGACCUUGCGCUAUUGGAUGAGCCUAAGUCGGAUUAGCUAGUUGGUGGGGUAAAGGCCUACCAAGGCGACGAUCCGUAGCUGGUCUGAGAGGAUGAUCAGCCACAUCGGGACUGAGACACGGCCCGAACUCCUACGGGAGGCAGCAGUGGGGAAUAUUGGACAAUGGGGGCAACCCUGAUCCAGCCAUGCCGCGUGUGUGAAGAAGGCUUUCGGGUUGUAAAGCACUUUCAGCGAGGAGGAAGGCCUUAAAGUUAAUACCUUUGAGGAUUGACGUUACUCGCAGAAGAAGCACCGGCUAUCUCCGUGCCAGCAGCCGCGGUAAUACGGAGGGUGCAAGCGUUAAUCGGAAUUACUGGGCGUAAAGCGCGCGUAGGUGGUUAGGUAAGCGAGAUGUGAAAGCCUCGGGCUUAACCUGGGAACGGCAUUUCGAACUGUCUGACUAGAGUGUGGUAGAGGGUAGUGGAAUUUCCUGUGUAGCGGUGAAAUGCGUAGAUAUAGGAAGGAACACCAGUGGCGAAGGCGGCUACCUGUACCUACACUGACACUGAGGUGCGAAAGCGUGGAGAGCAAACAGGAUUAGAUACCCUGGUAGUCGACGCC
rnacentral:rRNA from 1 species